AGGACGAACGCUGGCGGCGUGCUUAACACAUGCAAGUCGAGCGGAAAGGCCCUUCGGGGUACUCGAGCGGCGAACGGGUGAGUAACACGUGAGCAACCUGCCCUUGGCUCUGGGAUAGCCUCCGGAAACGGGGAUUAAUACCGGACAUUCACUUUCUCCUGCAUGGGGGUUGGUGGAAAGUUUUUCGGCCAGGGAGGGGCUCGCGGCCUAUCAGCUUGUUGGCGGGUAACGGCCCACCAAGGCGACGACGGGUAG
rnacentral:rRNA from 1 species